rnacentral:rRNA from 1 species
UACGUAGGAGGCGAGCGUUGUUCGGAAUUACUGGGCGUAAAGCGUGCGCAGGCGGCUUCUCAAGUCAGGGGUGAAAGCCCAGAGCUCAACUCUGGAAUUGCCUUUGAGACUGAGUGGCUUGAGUACGAGAGAGGUGAGUGGAAUUCCCAGUGUAGAGGUGAAAUUCGUAGAUAUUGGGAAGAACACCGGUGGCGAAGGCGGCUCACUGGCUCGUAACUGACGCUCAUGCACGACAGCGUGGGGAUCAAACAGG